CACCUUGCUAGCCAAUUAUUCCUGCAUUUUUAUUUAAACUCACGGUUCAGUAAAAUUAUUUGUGAAAGAAGAGAGAGAGAGAACUAGCUAAGGUUCCAAUAACUUCAGAGGCCUGUGGGUGUUGAGGGAGAGAGCACAGAAUGGCGUCUCCCUUCCCUCUGGCAACAGAGUGAGGGCAGUGUCAUUCCUCCUGUCCACUACCCCAACUUCUACUCCCAACACUACCACAACAAUGAGCGGUCUGGUGUGGUGGCUGAGGAUUCUUUUGAAGAGGACAAUGCUUCUGCUUCAUCUGAGCAGCUUGAAGCUGCCUGCAGAAAUAGGCAAAACAGCAACUGACGAAAGAAUAAAGUUGAAGGAAACUGGAGUUUCCCUGCAAAACAAGCUAUCAAGAAGACCUAUACAAUGUGUGUUCAAAGUGUCUGGCUAAGAGUUGGAGAUCUGGCAGAGAAGCUGUGGCCAGAGGAAGGAGGCUUGGCUGCUGCACCAGACCCAUAGACCACAUCUUUGGAGUGGCUUUGGCCUUGAGGUGCAGCCAGGUAGCUGUAGCUCACCACCUGCCAGAGAAAAGCUUUUUUAACCUCACUGCCUGCCAGGGAAGAGCUUUUUUAAUUUCCAUUUUAAUCUUACAUGAUUAAGGUCAUAUGAUUAAUAGUUAUACCAUCUUCUGUAUAUCUAGCCUGGAGGUUGAGAUGUGAUGGAAUGAUUCCAAAUGUGAAUGUAUACCAUAUUAAAUCCUUGUCUCUACUUUCCUCCAAAUGAGAUCCAUGGGCCUUGUAAAAAAAAGUUGGGAGUCCAAUCUUUUAAAACUAGUAACUCUAAUAUUAGAGAUUUGAGAGACAGAAUGAAGCAUUUAUAAAUCUGUACAUUCUUUCAAUUUUUUUUCACCAUUUUUGAAUGGCAUAUUGGAGUGAUUUGAGUCAGAAAUAACAAUUUUGAACACUUUUGUUUCUAUUUGUUGGUAAUGUGUAAUACCACUGAUGAGAGACAAACUUUGUGCUUGGAAGGAAAGAACUGACACCCUUUCUCUAUAAAUUCUGCUUCACUGCAUGCCACAAGUUUUAUAAUUUAUAUCAGAACUAUUUCUAGACUAACCACUUCAUAAGCAUAAUCAUUUUGUCAUCACAGUUUUCACUAUGCUGCCUUAUCACCAUUGUGCUACAGUGAUCUCAGAUGCUUCUGAUUUCAUAAUGAAAGUUAGGGUUCACUUUAAAACCAGUUGACAACUGAUAGUCUAAAUUCCAAUCCAAGAAAUGAAUUUUGUAUCAUCAAUGAAUGAAAGUGCUUGAUUGUUCUACAAGUUUGGUGAGGAUUGAGGUUGCUGGUUAGUUCUGGGGAGUAGAUUAGUAAAAUUCUGAAGAAGUAUUUUUUAACUGUCUUCACCCAGGAAAACAUGCAGGAAAUGCUGGAUAGUGAAAUUUUUAGAGCAGAAGAGAAUGAGAAGCUGAAAGAUAUUACCAUAAUUAAGGAGAUAGUGGAACAGGUGAUAGAUAGGCUAAGAAAGUUCAAGACACCAAGACCAGAUGAAAUAUAUCCCAGAGUAGUUGGGUUUAGGAAGGGGGAUAAAACCCAGGGAGGAGGUAGGAUUCUUUUAAUCUCUAACGUUUCAGCUGAAUAGCCAUCCUCAGAGAGACUGAUUUACAUGAGUGAAAACACAUUAUUUAUAACAACAAACAAAAUUUUCUCAUAUGACAUUCGUACAGAGUAUUGCCAUCCUGGCGUGUACCUCACCUAAUUUUAUUUUCCUAGUCAGGUGGCAUUAUUCGCCUACGUGACGAGCCUUUACUGGGGAUUUUCCUUGUACCUGACCUGAGGGCCAAUCUGGCGGAAUUAUCCACCCACCUGAUAAAACCUUCUCUGUGGUUAAUGACUUCCCUAGUUGUUUUGAGGGCUGCCUCUAUAGCUUUUCUCAUUCUUUUCUUCAAUCCAACUUAAAUUUCUUUAGCCUCUUCCCAUUUUGGUAGGUGAUUACAUUUUUCUAUGUUCAAUACAAGGGAGUUUGAUGUGUUGUGUUUUAAAACAUCUUUCCUAUGCUCUGCUAUUCUUGUUUUAAGUCCCCUGCCUGUUUCUCCUAUGUACUGCUUUGUACAACCUUUGCAUGGUAUGCUGUACACUACGCUGUUAUUAUUAACAAGUCCGGUCUCUUUAGUCCUCGUUAGCUCACCAAUUUUCUCUCCCGCUAAUGUUGCUAUUUUUAAUCCUGUUCUAGACAAAUAUUUAUUAAUUAUGGAAGCCUUGUCCGAAUUUGGUACACAUGUAUAACUCUCUCUUUUGCUGGUUGUACAGAGAUCUUUAUUCUCUUUGUUUUCAGUUGUUAUUUUCUUUGCCUUAUUCUUAAGCCUAACAAGGAGCCCUUCAGGAUAACCCAGCUUUUUGAAAGUUGAUAUGAUAUAUCAUAUUUCUUGCUCUAGGAAGUUGUUGCUGCAAAUUCUGAACGCUCUUAAGUAAAAACCAAUAAUCACAUCAGAUUUGAUUCUCAUGCUGUGGGCUGAAAGGUAGUGAAUGAAAUCGUCCUUAUUGGACAUUCAUUCACUUGUUAAUAAUAACAGCGUAGUGUACAGCAUACCAUGCAAAGGUUGUACAAAGCAGUACAUAGGAGAAACAGGCAGGGGACUUAAAACAAGAAUAGCAGAGCAUAGGAAAGAUGUUUUAAAAUGCAACACAUCAAACUCCCUUGUAUUGCACAUAGAAAAAUGUAAACACCUACCAAAAUGGGAAGAGGCUAAGAAAUUAAAGUUGGAUUGAAGAAAAGAAUAAGAAAAGCUAUAGAGGCAGCCCUCAUAACAACUAGGGGAGUCAUUAACCACAGAGAAGGUUUUAUCAGGUGGGCGGGUAAUUCCGCCAGAUUGGCCCUCAGGUCAGGUACAAGGAAAAUCCCCAGUAAAGGCUCGUCACGUAGGCGGAUAAUGCCACCUGACUAGGAAAAUAAAAUUAGGUGAGGUACACGCCAGGAUGGCAAUACUCUGUACGAAUGUCAAAUGAGAAAAUUUUGUAUGUUGUUAUAAAUAGUGUGUUUUCACUCAUGUAAAUCAGUCUCUCUGAGGAUGGCUAUUCAGCCAAAAUGUUAGAGAUUAAAAGAAUCCUAACUCC